GAUGAAGAACGUAGCGAAAUGCGAUAAGUAAUGUGAAUUGCAGAAUUCAGUGAAUCAUCGAAUCUUUGAACGCACAUUGCGCCCCCUGGUAUUCCGGGGGGUAUGCCUGUCCGAGCGUCAUUACAACCCUCAAGCUCAGCUUGGUGUUGGGCCCCGCCGCCCCGGCGGGCCCUAAAGCCAGUGGCGGUGCCGUCCGGCUCCGAGCGUAGUAAUUCUUCUCGCUCUGGAGGUCCGGUCGUGUGCUCGCCAGCAACCCCCAAUUUUUUUCAGGUUGACCUCGGAUCAGGUAGGGAUACCCGCUGAACUUAAGCAUAUCAAUAAGCGGAGGA
rnacentral:misc_RNA from 1 species